rnacentral:rRNA from 1 species
GAAGGGAAUAACGGAACUUGACGGUACCUACAAAAACUUGACGGCUAACUACGUGCCCCCAGCCGCGGUAAUACGUAGCGGUGCAAGCGUUGUCCGGAAUUAUUGGGCGUAAAGAGCUCGUAGGCGGUCUGUCGCGUCUGCUGUGAAAACCCUAGGCUCAACCUCGGGCCUGCAGUGGGUACGGGCAAACUACAGUGCGGUAGGGGAGACUGGAAUUCCUGGUGUAGCGGUGAAAUGCGCAGAUAUCAAGAGGAACACCAAUGGCGAAGGCAGGUCUCUGGGCCGUCACUGACGCUGAGGAGCCAAAGCGUGGGGAGCAAACAGGAUUAGAGACCCUGGUAGUCCACGCCGUAAACGGUGGGCGCUAGUUGUGGGAACCAUUCCACGGUUUCCGUGACGUAUCUAACGCAUUAAGCGCCCCGCCUGGGGAGUACGGCCGCAAGGCUAAAACUCAAAUGAAUUGACGG